rnacentral:rRNA from 1 species
UUUCGGCCAGGCAGGGAGUGGCGGACGGGUGAGUAACACGUGGGUGACCUACCCCCUGGUGAGGAAUACCGACGAGAAAUCGUCGACAAAACCGCAUAGGCUCUCGCAAGAGAGCAAAGCUGCUGACUCGCAAGAGCCGGAGGCGCCAGAGGAUGGGCCUGCGGCCGAUUAGCUAGUUGGUGGGGUAACGGCUCACCAAGGCGACGAUCGGUAGCUGGUCUGAGAGGACGAUCAGCCACACUGGGAUUGAGAACGGCCCAGACUCCUACGGGGGGCAGCAGUGAGGAAUUUUCCGCAAUGGAGGCAACUCUGACGGAGCAACGCCGCGUGCAGGACGACGCGUUUCGGC